rnacentral:rRNA from 1 species
GAGGUCAGGCAAGAACACCCGCUGAACUUAAGCAUAUCAAUAAGCGGAGGAAAAGAAACUAACUAGGAUUCCCUUAGUAGCG